rnacentral:rRNA from 1 species
UAAUAGCGUAUAUUAAAGUUGUUGCAGUUAAAAAGCUCGUAGUCGGAUGUCGGGCUCGGGCAGGCUGUCGGCUUCGGUCGGACGGCAGGCUCGGGUCUUUCUGCCUGAGGAUCCAUCUCAUUCACUUGGGGUGGGGACGCAGGCCGUUUACUUUGAAAAAAUUAGAGUGUUCAAAGCAGGCCUACGCUUGAAUACAUUAGCAUGGAAUAAUGGAAUAGGACUUUGGUGCUAUUUUGUUGGUUUAUGGGACCGAAGUAAUGAUUAACAGGGACAGUUGGGGCCGUUUAUAUUUCGUUGUCAGAGGUGAAAUUCUUGGAUUUACGAAAGAGAAACUUCUGCGAAAGCAUUCGGCAAGGAUGUUUUCAUUGA